GGACCUACGGGGGGCAGCAGUGGGGAAUAUUGCACAAUGGGGGGAACCCUGAUGCAGCGACGCCGCGUGAGUGAAGAAGUAUUUCGGUACGUAAAGCUCUAUCAGCAGGGAAGAAAAAAGGACGGUACCUGAGUAAGAAGCCCCGGCUAACUACGUGCCAGCAGCCGCGGUAAUACGUAGGGGGCAAGCGUUAUCCGGAAUUACUGGGUGUAAAGGGAGCGUAGACGGCAGGGCAAGUCUGGAGUGAAAGGCGGGGGCUCAACCCCCGGACUGCUCUGGAAACUGCCAGGCUGGAGGGCAGGAGG
rnacentral:rRNA from 1 species